rnacentral:rRNA from 1 species
CUUGCACGCUGGCGGCAUGCCUUACACAUGCAAGUCGAACGGUAACAGGUCUUCGGAUGCUGACGAGUGACGAACGGGUGAGUAAUACAUCGGAACGUGCCCGAUCGUGGGGGAUAACGAGGCGAAAGCUUUGCUAAUACCGCAUACGAUCUACGGAUGAAAGCGGGGGAUCUUCGGACCUCGCGCGGACGGAGCGGCCGAUGGCAGAUUAGGUAGUUGGUGGGAUAAAAGCUUACCAAGCCGACGAUCUGUAGCUGGUCUGAGAGGAUGAUCAGCCACACUGGGACUGAGACACGGCCCAGACGCCUACGGGAGGCAGCAGUGGGGAAUUUUGGACAAUGGGCGAAAGCCUGAUCCAGCCAUGCCGCGUGCAGGAUGAAGGCCUUCGGGUUGUAAACUGCUUUUGUACGGAACGAAAAGCCUCUUUCUAAUAAAGAGGGGUCAUGACGGUACCGGAAGAAUAAGCACCGGCUAACUACGUG